CCAGGAUCAACACAGAGAUAAACACAGAGAUAAACACAGAGGGCACAACCACGCCAGGAAACAUAGAAGACAUACCAACAAGUAACAAUGGGACACACAGGUGUGUAUAUAUACACAGACACUAAUCACAAGAACAGGACACAGCUGGAGGAGGCAAAGACAAGACGGCAGCAGGUGAUCAGACACAGAAGGAUCAAAUCAGGGCGGGGCAAACAAAUCAAAACACAAGGUGAGUGAGUGAAAGCCAGGAACAUGACAGGGAUUCUGUAUCCAGUAGUGCUGUUUGCAGAGACCAGGGAAGCAGUCCUGCAGCUGUAACUCUCAUUUCUCCUCCAAGCCAAAGGCCAGCCGGCUGACAGCCAACUUCCUUCCAAACCCAGUCCUUGGGAGUCUGUCCCCUUCCUCCUGGUUCGGCCAUGGUUUACACACUCCCCAACAUACUGGCUGUGGCCAUGGAGGGGUGGUGCCAAUGUGACGUCACGUGUGACAAUCCUGGAGGUGGAGAGAUCUCUUUAGGGCAGCUGGAAUGGAGGAGCACCGUAGAUACAUCCACAUAUACAGUGCAUAGCCGAUGUCAGGCUGUUUUCAAUGUGUGAUAGUGUGCAUGCUCUUCAUUGUAUCCUUUCAUAUACUAAAUAAAAUAUAUAAAUAAACUAAGUGAUGAUUUCAGUGUGGCAUUUUCAAAUGCUGUGAAUAUCAGAUAGAAUAUUUUUCAUUUAUUAUUAUAGUAUUGCAUGUGUGAACACGUCUCAAUUGUGCUGUUACAUUGUUACAAAACAAUAUAUUGUGUAAGUUGAGCAAUAAAUGUCAA
rnacentral:lncRNA from 1 species